GACAUUCUUUAGAACAAAGUGCAUUCCACUCAUUACCUUAUCAUUAAAGUUGGACAACAUAAUAUUUGAGAUAUCAAUGAUCAAAUUUGUUCUUUCUCCAGCUGCAACUGAGAUCUGACAUGGGUAGAGAAAGAACAAGAGGGCAGAAGUGCACGCCCAACCUCAAGAACCAAAAGAAGCUUGAGAAAUGCAAAAGGGCUCGUAGCCUCGGCUCGUGAUGCUGCCGAGAAGCAGGCUCUUGAGCUUGGAGAAGACGUAUCUCCAGCUUCUACUCUGUUUAUCCAGCAAGAAGGAGAAGAAGAAAGCCCUCUUCAUUAACAGGGCUCUUCGGUCUCUGACAUGUUUGCGAUGCUUGCUCGAUCAAAGCCUUCAGCUGUGGUAAUGCUCCAGUCUAUGCUUGCCUCACUUGGCUCAUACCAGUCAGUUGAUGGUGUCAUUGGCUCAUCGAGGCUGCGACGUGUGCCUGCAAGGGCCAAACCUAGUUUUCUUGCUUCUAGUUCCAUCGAGUCUCGUCGGUGGAACAUGGCAGGAUAUGAGACAGUAGCUGUGUUGACAGUUUGAGCGGAGAAACUUUCAAUUUCGAAUAAGUCUGAGCUGGCGUCACUCGCCACAUCAUCAACAUCGUUGACAAUAGUGGCAGUGCCACCGGAUGCUGCCACACUAGCUAAAAUUCGUGAUUUUAGACUACCACCACCACCAUUAUUGCCACAAUCUCUAGUGGUGCUUGGUUUGAAAACUUCUAAAGAAUCUCGAGGUGGAUCUUCGAUUAAAACAUGACUUAUGGAUCUAGUUGGAAUAUCUUCAUUGUUGUUGGCGUUUUUUUUCAAGAUGGGGAAAGUGAAACCUGUGGAGGCUAUUACACGUUGUGUUGUGUGUUCUUGAAGAAGCAAACUUGGAGGAAAGCGUCUUUGAGUGCUCCAAACGACGCUGUUAUCUGAUUGUUGCAAAAGUAUUUUGUUUGCACCUGAGGUUUUCUCAGACAGCGAAGACUCCGACUCCGACUCCGACUGAGAAUGGCUACCAACGGUAGUGUUAUUGUUGGUAUAAGGAGGACUUGUUUUUGGCUCUAGUACCACCUUAGAUUCCUGAACUUGAAUCGACUUCUUCCCCGUACAAGGGCAUUUAGAGCUUCUAAAAAUCCAUCUUGUUGUUGUAGAUGACGACGAUGAUGGCUUAUGAGAUUUUCUCCCAGAAUGAUGAUUCGUAUCUCCACGCAAAACUGACACCGAGAUAGCUCCUGGAGGGUUUGAGAGCAACCCUGUCUGACUAUUCCAACUAGCCUCAGACGAGGCCGUCGGUGUUGUAGAACGAAAAGAUCUAGCUCGAUAGCUCCGACGAUGAUAUCCAUCAAUGGAGUCAAGAGUGGGGGAGAAUUUAGAAAGCAUCAUAGACGAUGGAUGUGUAACAACACCACACGUCCAGGGUUUGGAUUUUGAUAACUCUGAAUCUUGGUCAAAAUCCUCGUCCUGAGACGACGUUACUGAAUGACCGUUACACUUCUCUGACUCCGACAUCGACUCGAUGUUUGUCACAGGAGAAACCUUGUUGGUAUUGUUGGUUGAAACUUCAUUGAAAUACUUUUUGGCAUCAAAAAUACUCAGCUCAGAAGAAUCAUCAGCAGUAGAGCAACGAGCAAGAAACCGACGAUGGUGAUCACAAGCCUCUCUCUUCUCCCUCAUAUCAUUGUUAUUGUUGCACCCAAAGACUGUUUUCUCAGAUAAGCUUCCAUUAAUGAAGCUCAUCUUAGAAAUUGCUCUUCUUUCCAUACCAAAAAACCCCUCUCAGAAAGCUACUUCGCCCUCAUAUGAAAUAUUUAUACAUAGAAAAGAUGAUGACGCAAGGGGGUUAAAAGCUAGGGUUCAUAUUCAUAGCUAAUACUUUGGUACUUUAAGCCUUUAUCAAUGGGAAAAGAGUACUGUUGGGAAAGAUGAGUAUCCAAUUUGGCUAUCAACUUAUGAAGGGUGUGGGACAUUUUGUAAGAUUCCAUUCACUUUAAUGUUCACAAAGUCCAAAUCUUUUGAGUAAUUUUAAAAAAAGGGCUAACAAUGUAUUGACCCUUUCUUUGAAUGAAAA